ACCACAACUCCCGGCGUGCAGCGGGGCGGCCGCGGCCUGUCGGGAAGAGGCUGCGUAGCGCGGGGCACGCCGGGAUGGGAAGUGUGCGGCUGCGCAGAGUAGGCAGCGGUGAGCGCGCUGGGAAGGGCUCGUCACACCUCAGUGGGCUGGGGCGGCGCGGACUCGCGGAGACACGGAGGCAGGCGCCAGGCGCUGAGUGCGUGAAGCGCUCUGCCGGUCGGCGGAGGCCCGGGGGCUCCAGCUCAGUAAAGUUAGCGAGCACCCGGUAGGCGCCUACCGGGGCGCCGGGUACGUGUGGAGAAUCAUUGUGUGCUGGAUGGACGCACGCUGGUGGCACCGACGGAACAGCGCCGUUUGUUGGGUCAUUCAGCAAACCCGAGACCUGUGCCGGGCCUUGGCCCCUGCCACCCGAGGACGAAGGGGCUGGGUUCCUAAAGAGACCUUAGGCCAGAGGAGGACCCAGGCAGCUCGGGGAGUCGCGCGGCCUGCUGGAGUCCAGGAAGGCUUCCCGGAGGAGGAGCUGGCCGCUUCUGGCGACGAGGAAUUGGGGGGGAGGGUCCUGCGGGUCGGGCCUGGCGCUGGCUGCCCAGAGGCCGUGGGGGAAAGCCCUCUGGGGCCGAAGCGAGGCUGUGUGUAGAGGGACGGGUGGGGGUGGCAUGUCUAAUUGCAGAGGAUGUGAUAAGUAAUCCGAAAGAGAGAGACGUUUUCUGCCGGGAGCCUUAGGAGGAGGAGAAGCUGGUAGAUUUGUAGUGAUGGUUACAGGAUGAAGGUCCCUAGAUUUGUAGUGAUGGUUACAGGAUGAAGGCCCCAUUGAUAAUGGCCCGGCAUCCUGAGAGCCUGGCCGAGGUCGCUCGAGGGGUUGUGGCCAAGUUGCAUGUGUUGACAAACUAAUUGCUUUAGGAGAAUCACUACUUAGGACACUUUCGUGUCUUUAGCAGAUUGUAAUUCUUUGGAAAGUAGGUGUGCAGUGUUUUUAUAUUUAUGCAUUUAGGACUUUUAUUAUGUAGAAACCUAGAAUUAGAGAUGAUAAAAUCUGGGUUAAAUUUUUGAACUUUAAAUAUAAUAAAUAUGAAUCUUGUUGACCUGCAGCAACACAAUGGAGAAAUUAUAGUACUCCAAGCCUGAAACUUUGAUGAUUUAUCUCUUUACUUGAAGGCAGAAUGACAUGGAGAGCACACGCACAGAAAUUUUCCAUUCUGUGGUUCAAUCCCCAGAAGGCUGCAACAGCCAGGGCUGGAGCCAGGAGGAAGCUGGGAAAUCCAUGUGGGUCUCCCAGAUGGGUGACAGGAACCCAAGUACAUGAGCCGUCUUCUGCUCUCCUCCCAGGUUCCUGCUAUUCUGAAGCCAUCCAUCAUGACCAGCCGAUGUCUCUGCCGUGCUCCUGAAUCUCCAGAGCUGUGAAUUAGACUUCAUGCAGUACCCAGCCUCAGGUGCUUUGUUACAGCCGCAGAAAAUGGGCUAGCAGGCAGCUGUGAUGGUGUAGGGGUUAAGCUGCUGCUUGGGAGGCCUGCGUCCCAGCUACUCUGCUUUUGAUCCAGCUUCCUGCCAGUGUGCAUCCUGGGAGGCAGCAGAUGAUGGCUCAAGUACUUGGCUCUGCCACCCAUCUGUGAGACCCAGACGGAGUUCCAGGCUCCUGACUUGAGACUGUUCCAGCCCCAGCUGUUGUGGGCGUUUUGGAAAGUGAACCUGAGCAUGGAAGAUCUCUCUGUGUUUCUCCCUUUCUCUCUGCCUUUCUAAUUAAAAAAGAAAGAAAAAAUACAUUGAAAAUCAAAAUGGGCUGACACAGGGACAUACUGCUUACGCUGAAUUACGUAACGUGUGAGGAUGCUUGUACUGCUUGGUCAGUGUGCAUGUACGUGCAUACCUGGGUAACCACACCGGGCUCAAGACACAGAAGCACCUUCUGUGUCCCAGUAGGCUUCCUUGCGUUGGCUCCUGGUUGUGAGACAUCCCCCAGGUAACCUCUACCCUGACCUCUAUCACCAUUGGCUACUUACUGUACCAAUCCUAAGGGGGUCAAUGCAUUGAAACAUUUGGAUGGAAUCCUUUGCGUCUGGAUCGAUUCACUGGGCCUUAUGUCUGAGAUUCACCCAUGUUACUGCAUAUAGCACUACUUAGUUCUUUUUAAUCACUCUAGCAUUCCACCACUGUUCAUCCAUUCACUUAUUAGUGCAGACUUGUGUUAUCUCAGGUUUUUGGCCAGCUUUUAAAAAUAAAGCUGCCAUAAACAUUCUUGUGCACGUCUUCGGGUGGACGUGAAGAUGCAUCAAAAAGGUCAUGGAAGAAUGGAAUUUAACGUUUAUUUUGGUGCAUAAAAAUUUUGAAAUCCAUACCUAGUGGUUUUUUUUUUUUUUGAUUUAUAUUUUCCAUGAACUUUUUGAACAACCCUUGUAUGUUUGUCGUUCUCUUGGGUAUUUACCUAGAGGUAGAAUUGCUGAGUCGUUAUUCCAGAUAGUCAUGUAUUUGACUGAAGUGCAUAUUAUUCUAUUAGUAUGGAAGAAACGGGGAAGAAAUAUUGGGGGCUGACCAGGAAUCCUGUGAUGUCUCCUUGUCCACACUAGGGUCAAGACCCAUAGCUUGGCCGGCGCCGUGGCUCAUUAGGCUAAUCCUCCGUCUGUGGCGCCGGCAUACUGGGUUCUAGUCCCGGUCGGGGCACUGGAUUCUGUCCCGGUUGCCCCUCUUCCAGUCCAGCUAUCUGCUGUGGCCUGGGAGUGCAGUGGAAGAUGGCCCAAGUGCUUGGGCCCUGCACCCACAUGGGAGACCAGGAGAAGCCCCUGGCUCCUGGCUUUGGA